rnacentral:rRNA from 1 species
UGGGGAAUAUUGCGCAAUGGGCGGAAGCCUGACGCAGCGACGCCGCGUGAGGGAUGACGGCCUUCGGGUUGUAAACCUCUUUCAGCUCCGACGAAGCGGGAGUGACGGUAGGAGCAGAAGAAGCACCGGCCAACUACGUGCCAGCAGCCGCGGUAAUACGUAGGGUGCGAGCGUUGUCCGGAAUUAUUGGGCGUAAAGAGCUCGUAGGUGGUCUGUCGCGUCGGCUGUGAAAACUCGGGGCUCAACCCCGAGCCUGCAGUCGAUACGGGCAGACUGGAGUUCGGCAGGGGAGACUGGAAUUCCUGGUGUAGCGGUGAAAUGCGCAGAUAUCAGGAGGAACACCGGUGGCGAAGGCGGGUCUCUGGGCCGAUACUGACACUGAGGAGCGAAAGCGUGGGGA